AUUGAACGCUGGCGGCAGGCCUAACACAUGCAAGUCGAACGAGUGGCGGACGGGUGAGUAAUGUCUGGGGAUCUGCCUGAUGGAGGGGGAUAACUACUGGAAACGGUAGCUAAUACCGCAUACCAUCGGAUGAGCCCAUAUGGGCUUAGCUAGUAGGUAGGGUAACGGCUUACCUAGGCGACGAUCCCUAGCUGGUCUGAGAGGAUGAUCAGCCACACUGGAACUGAGACACGGCCCAGACUCCUACGGGAGGCAGCAGUGGGGAAUAUUGCACAAUGGGCGCAAGCCUGAUGCAGCCAUGCCGCGUGUAUGAAGAAGGCCUUCGGGUUGUAAAGUACUUUCAGUGGGGAGGCGUUACCGACAGAAGAAGCACCGGCUAACUCCGUGCCAGCAGCCGCGGUAAUUC
rnacentral:rRNA from 1 species